UACAGAGGGUGCGAGCGUUGUUCGGAAUUAUUGGGCGUAAAGCGCGUGUAGGCGGCCUUGCAAGUCGGGUGUGAAAGCCCUCAGCUUAACUGAGGAAGUGCGCCCGAAACUGCUCGGCUUGAGUACCGGAGAGGAUGGCGGAAUUCCCCAAGUAGAGGUGAAAUUCGUAGAUAUGGGGAGGAACACCGGUGGCGAAGGCGGCCAUCUGGACGGAUACUGACGCUGAGACGCGAAAGCGUGGGUAGCAAACAGG
rnacentral:rRNA from 1 species